rnacentral:rRNA from 1 species
UGGGUAACCUGCCGCGCAGAGGGGGAUAACGACUGGAAACGGUCGCUAAUACCGCAUGGUACCAAGAGGAAUGGUCUCCUUUUGGUUAAAACUUUGGUGCUGCGCGAGGGGCCUGCGCCCGAUUAGCUAGUUGGUGAGGUAAUGGCUCACCAAGGCGAUGAUCGGUAGCUAGUCUGAGAGGGAUGAUUAUCCACACGGGAACUGAGAUACGGUCCCGACUCCUACGGGGGGCAG